rnacentral:lncRNA from 1 species
AAUGUCAAAAUCUUUUAUUUACAACAGUCUCCAAAAAUCAAGAAACACUGAAAAUAGUGAGGGCAGGAGACGACUUACAAAAGUAACACAUGUACAUUGGGAAUUGUGCUACAUCACUCUGAGAACUGACACUCUAAGGUCUGCACACAACGUGGUGAAACAACAGUGCCCUCCCUCUGUCCUUGGGGUGCUCACACCUCUUCUCCCCUUGGCUUUUGGACCAUUCUCCCUCCUGUUUGUUCUCUUCUGCUUCCCCUUGCAAACCUUUCUGCUGAUGAGCUUGUCGCUCUGCCUCUGGUCCUGGCCAUUACCUCCAUCCCCUCCAGCAACCGCCCAAAGGAGGAGAAGGAAGCCAAACAGCUGAACAACAGUGUCCUCAGGAUGGAGACAGGCCUUGAAAGACCUUUAACUCCAGGCCCCUGAGUACUAAGUGGUUAGCAGCAGCCUCUGAAAAACCUGUGAACUAUGGCUUGUGUGCUGUCUGGGGUGAGGGGUGAUUUUGGAAGUAACUGAGAAGCUGAAUUUGUUCUGCCUGGCUGCAAAUCACUCAGCACAGCUUACUUGGUGGACAGUGUGGGAGGACUGAUACAUGCCACAGGGUUAAAUAAAAUGCCUUUUAUCAUCUUCCAGAAGAGCAGGCUGCUCUGGUAAGAAAAUUCAGUGCAGGACAAGCUAAAAGAAUUAGAUGCAAUAGAGCAACAUCCCAGUUUGCUCCAGCAGAGACAAAGCCAGGAGCCUCCGGAGACCACUGCAUCCAGACGACUGUAGCAGUGGUACAGUAACUCUGUAAGCAUGCCAUAUGUCCUUCUCCUUGGGGAGAUUUCUCAGGCUGCCUUUGCUCUGGCAUAGUUGCAGAUCCAGCAGGGACUGAGAAACACAGCCCAGCUCAGCCACUGAUCCCCUUUUGGUAUCUGCAGCCUUUGGAAUUGCUGAGGUCAGUGGCCAAACCUGAUGCCCCAGUUGCCUUACAGACCCCAUGUGAAUCCAGCACCUCAGGAGGCCCCACAACAUAAGGAAAUAGAGUGAGGAGACCUGAGUCUAUUCCUUUCUCUGACACCGAUUUUUCAAGUCAUGGAAUCAUGGAAUGGUUUGGGUUGGAAAGGACCUUAAGAUCAUCCAGUUCCAACCCCCUGCCACAGGCAGUGACACUUCGCACUAGACCAGGUUGCUCCAAGCCCCGUCCAACCUGAUCUUGAACACUGCCAGCUGGCAUGGCUGUUGUGAGCAGAGACUCUCCCCCUGAGUGUCCACAGCCAUGAGGAGCCUUGAACUCACUCAGCAGCUCCACUGAAGGCAAAGAGCAGCAACACCACCUCUGCGCACGUAUCGCAGUGCUUCAGCACUGGGCAGCAGUGCCCUUCUGUGACUGCCCUGGGCUGGCAGAGAGAAAGCUUCUGGUCAGGACAGGACCUGCUCCGUUUUCUAGGAGACUGCAGAGUUUCAGAAUGACUCCCAUCCUGAAACACUAACAUCAACUUUUCAGAAUGUAACCCUCAAAACAGGAUUUAAUAGAAAUAAAGGAGUGGGCAGUUAACAGAAAUACUCCCUUGCAGUGUGCUGUAACUGAGAACUUGGGUACCUCUCUUUUUAAUUGCAGCAAGAUUGUUUUGCAGGAAAAAUCAGAGCAUUCUCUUCUAAGUAAGGCUGGUCUGCUGUGCUCUGUUGUUUAAAACCAUCAAAACUGACAGCUUCAUAUGAAGCAUUUUAACUCCCUACCUUCCUCUGCCUGAGAAAUUCUCCCUGCGACUAUCUCCAGCUACUUUAGUCCAGACUCUGUGAGCACAUUAGGCAUGAAUAGCUACCACAGAGAAGGCUAAUCCUUGCUCAGCAAAACAACAGGACCCAAGAGAUGGUCUGGGAAACAGAGGAGUCAUCACAGAAAGAACAUAGGCAGAGGUGUGGGAUGAAUUAAUUUAGGGCAUGCAUCUGCUCCCAGAACAGUGCCAGACAGGUAAGGCCUUGUGUUUUAUUGCUACGAGCAUCUGCCUCGGGGCACCAAUUCCCAGCAGGGCUGUCAGCCCCACCUUCACAUUUGCUCAAAUAAACCCAUCCGUUUUCUUACCUCUAUAAUUUUAUGAGUGUUUUCUCGUCCCAAGGAUGAUGCUGCCUACAUGGAGAUAGAUGUACACACCUGCUACUGAUUUAUUGUCUCCACAGAUGCUUGGUGACAUCAGGGUGCUGUAUGCAUUUUGGCAAAGGCUGGGCCGCACCUUUAAGCCUCUUUCACUCC